GCCUUUGUGGCAAAAUUGGUAGCACAUACUCCCACUAUGGGUAAAACACGAGUUCGAAUCCCGGCUAAGGUU